rnacentral:rRNA from 1 species
CACGUAGGCACCAAGCGUUGUCCGGAUUUAUUGGGCGUAAAGAGCUCGUAGGCGGUUGAGUAAGUCGGGUGUGAAAACUCUGGGCUUAACCCAGAGCCGCCACUCGAUACUGCUCUGACUUGAGUCCGGUAGGGGAGCAGGGAAUUCCUAGUGUAGCGGUGAAAUGCGCAGAUAUUAGGAGGAACACCGGUGGCGAAGGCGCUGCUCUGGGCCGAAACUGACGCUGAGGAGCGAAAGCGUGGGUAGCAAACAGG